GAGGUUGUGGCUCAGUAGUAGAGUGCUUGCUUAGCAUGCACGGGUCACUGGGUUCGAUCCUCAGCACCACA
rnacentral:tRNA from 1 species